GGCACAGAUGGGAUGAGUGUGGCGUGGUCGAGACCUGGUCUGCCCUUGACCGUGUCUGCUCCCGUCCCUUCUGUCU
ensembl:miRNA bta-mir-2418 bta-mir-2418